UCCAAAGAGGUGCCUUGGGCAGAACCCUUG
rnacentral:piRNA from 1 species